CAGUAGCCGCGGUAAUACGAAGGGGGCUAGCGUUGCUCGGAAUCACUGGGCGUAAAGGGCGCGUAGGCGGCGUUUUAAGUCGGGGGUGAAAGCCUGUGGCUCAACCACAGAAUGGCCUUCGAUACUGGGACGCUUGAGUAUGGUAGAGGUUGGUGGAACUGCGAGUGUAGAGGUGAAAUUCGUAGAUAUUCGCAAGAACACCGGUGGCGAAGGCGGCCAACUGGACCAUUACUGACGCUGAGGCGCGAAAGCGUGGGGAGCAAACAGGAUUAGAUACCCCUGUAGUCCCUGUCUCUUAUAC
rnacentral:rRNA from 1 species